GAUCCGGUUCCUUUACACUUCACUCUCCGCUCGGCGACGAGCGAAAUCCCCACGAAAUCCUAGAUCUUCGCCGCGAGUGCAGCCAGCGGGAGAGCCGGCGACGAAUUAAUCCAUGGAGAAAGGCGACAGGCCGGCGAAGGGUCCCGCGGCAGUUCGAUGGGGUGAGGGCGGUGCGCGCGCGCUCGAGGAGGAGAAGGUAGCGGCUACGGGAAGGGGGCGGGGGUUGGAGCUGGUGGUUCUGCGCGGGGCGGCGACGACCCCGGGGGGAGACGCGAGAUCCAGUGGCUUCGACGAACCCGAGGUAUGAUUGCAGCAUAUAUAUGCUACACAAUACCAACAACUGGGAUGGCACCCAUGUCCUGGAGUAUAGGCCAAAAGACAUAGCCAACAUGAGGAUGAUACUAACGGCAAAAAUGGUGAAGAGUGAGCACAGCGAUGUCAACUGGGCAAAGAUGCUCAACAUCAAGAAGAAACAAGGUGUAAGACAAUAGAGAAGAUGCAAAUUCAGAGUCAGCAACUUUUAUCUAUAUAAUCCAGUUCUACAGGGUACAGGGGAUGUAAGAACAGGGAGGAAAGAUACAAGACAAGGUCUGCAACACUUUUGUACAGGGGCGCGGACGUACAGAGAGGGAAAUCAACUAAUUAUAGCAGUAAAAGAAGUUCAUGGCUAGAAAUUUCUGGAACAACACCUUUUUUACCUUUCCUGUUUUCACUGGGGGAAACUUGCCCAGCUACGCCAGUUCUCUUGCCCACGAUGCUUAAGAUUUAUUGCCUGAUCAGCACGAAA